GAGAAGAACGUAGCGAAAUGCGAUACUUGGUGUGAAUUGCAGAAUCCCGUGAACCAUCGAGUCUUUGAACGCAAGUUGCGCCCGAAGCCAUUAGGCCGAGGGCACGCCUGCCUGGGCGUCACACGUCGUUGCCCCCCCAUCUACUCCUUCGGGAUUGCGGGGGGCGGAUGAUGGCCUCCCGUGCGCCACGCCGCGCGGUUGGCAUAAAUGCCAAGUCCUCGGCGACGCACGCCACGACAAUCGGUGGUUGCGAAACCUCGGUUGCCCGUCGUGUGCGGUCGUCGCGCAUCGAGGGCUCGAAAAAAUUGCCGGGUUCCGGCUCGGCUUUCAACGCGACCCCAGGUCAGGCGGGGUUACCCGCUGAAUUUAAGCAUAUCAAUAAGCGGAGGA
rnacentral:misc_RNA from 1 species